ACUCAACGUUAAUUCUUUAAAAAGGGUGAGUUGAAGUUGUAAAAGCGAGCUACCUCGAGUAGAUACUUGAUCAACUUGUUAGCCCUAAACUUGUUUUUAAGGAGUUU
rnacentral:sRNA from 1 species